CCCAUCCCCAAAGGCACUGCAAAUACCUUAUCCCCAGUAUUUCCAGUAUUGGUAUCCUCCAAAGUUUAAUAGGAUAUGGCCGAAUAUUUCUUCCCUUGAGGUUUCUAACCCAAAACAAGGAAUGUCUGCGACAACGAGCUCCUGCACUGCCAGAACGGAGGGACGUGCCACAACAACGUGCGCUGCCUGUGCCCGGCCGCAUACACGGGCAUCCUCUGCGAGAAGCUGCGGUGCGAGGAGGCUGGCAGCUGCGGCUCCGAC
rnacentral:lncRNA from 1 species